rnacentral:snRNA from 1 species
GUGCUCGCUUCGGCAGCACAUACACUAAAAUUGGAGCGAUACAGAGAAGAUUAGCGUGGCCCCUGCGCAAGGAUGACACGCAAAUUCAUGAAGCGUUCCAUAUUUUU